GUGGAGCAGAACUGGUACUCGCUCACUUAGCGAUUUACACAUCGACAAGACCUAUAUACUGAAAUGAAAGGAUUUGGACUGUUUCUUCUAAUAUGCAGUGUACCAUUGAGUUGGGUUCAUGGACACGAAAGUGGAUAUACGAGCAGUUCAGAAGAUAGCCAUGUGAAUAGUCACGAAAGUGGAGAUAUGCAUAUUCACGAAAGUGGAGAUACGCAUAGUCACGAAAGUGGAGAUACGCAUAGUCACGAAAGUGGACAUACGCAUAGUCACGAAAGUGGACAUACGCAUAGUCACGAAAGUGGACAUACGCAUAGUCACGAAAGUGGACACAAAUCUCGACACAGCCAUAGUUCAUUUUCAUCAGAAGAAAUACAAUGCACAGGUUAGU